CUCUUUGGGGCGGGGAGAAUUUCCCCACCGGCGGUAAAGCCCGCGAGCCGGCCUGUGGCUGGCAUGACUCGGUGAGACUCCGGGGCCGACAGUAUAGUCUGGAUGAGAAAAGA
rnacentral:ncRNA from 1 species